AGGGCAGUAGCUCAACUGGUAGAGCACCGGUCUCCAAAACCGGCGGCUGGGGGUUCGAGUCCCUCCUGCCCUG
rnacentral:tRNA from 1 species